GUUGCCGUCCAGUAGCUCUUCAGGCUGCUUUCACGUGUUUACAGUUACCCCUCAUUCUGAUGACUGCAGUGUUUCCAAUUUAACACUGAUGGAAACUAACGUUUUUCCAGUGUCAACAGGCAGAGGUGAGAUGCGCUGGUCCCCUCCUGUGUUUUUGUUUAAUAAGACAGGUGUGGUAAGGUCCCUUGCAUCAUACUUGUUUUGGCGGAUUUAUCCCCUCUGUUUAGGGGAUUUAACCAAUCAGGAUCAAGCUCUUAAUCCAGUCAGGUGUUAGGUAAUAGAGGGAUUAGGAAGCCUUUAACAGACUGAAGACUACAGAAUGAAAUAGUUAGAGAAUACUUGAAAAAAGAAGAUUUCAGGCAGGAGAGCACGUUUGAAUGAGGAGAGGCUGCCUCUUAUUUAUGCAAUCUUUCAUUCUGACGCACAUACAAGCACAUAACUGAUAAUUAAGGCAACAGCUCAGCCAGCUUCUCGCCUGCUUGCUGAAUAAAGAAGUAAUUUAAGUGACGCACACAAACAUGCGCAUACAUAUAUUAAUUCAUAAUUCUCAAACCAAGUGGACCUUUUUUCUGAUCUUUUCCGCUGUUACAUGCAUGCAGUCUUUCCAACACACAUAUAAACACAUGUACUCUCAUUUUUACUUCUCUACCUCUCUGGCACAUGCUUAUUUUCCUCUGCAGAGUUUCAGUGGUGUGAAAUCCCUGGUUGAGGUGAGAAUUGAAUGUUCAUUAUUCAUGAAGAGAGCUUUCUCAAUAGCACAGAUACAGGAGCUCACACACUCAUACAGGCAAACGCACAACCUCACUAGUGAUUUAUUUCCAGGCAGCGCAUUAAUAAUUGAUGCAAGAUUAUAUCACCCUUUCAUCCAUCACUCUUUAGUUGCUGUGGAUGCUCACUCUGGUCACCACUCCCGUGAUUAGCUGAGCAGACACCAAAUAAUCUGGAGAUAUACUAUCACACUCAUGCACUACACCCUUGCCUCUUCGAGCAAUGAUCAAAUAACAGAUGGAGAGGAUUACAAAAGUCAGAGUAUCUCCUCUAUCAGUGGUCAGGACAGUCAUUUCUGGAUACUGGAACUCUGGGGACUUGUGCACUAAAGUGACAACAUUUCAUAUCUUUUUUUUACUGGAAACAGCAGAUCAUGAAAUAACCCAAAAAUCCUGUCUACUUGACUUUUAGCUUGUACUAAAAGUUGCAAAUUUUCUGGCUUUCCCACCACCUAUCCACCCAUCGUCUGUAGUCCUUACCUUUGAGGACUGCUCCAGGGGCCAGAGCCAUCCCAGCUGAUGUUGAGUGAAAGUCAGGAUAUACCCUGGACGGGUCUUGAGUCUAUAUGGCAGAGCAGAUAAGCCGUCACACUCAAACUUGGAGAUAUUUAAAGUGAUUGAUUGACCGUAAAAGCAUGUUUUUAGAUUGUGUGAGAAAGCCAUAAUUGAAGCCUAGAGGGAGCCCAGGCGUGUAUGCAAACUCUAUAAGGACAAGCCCCAAGAUGGGACUCAAACCAGGAACCUUGAUGUUAAGAGGCAACAGCUCUAAGUACUGCACCACCAUGUAACCCCUGUCUUAAAUACACUAAACCUGGUUUGUACUUCUAGGAAGAAUCUGCAAAGAGACAUCUAUGUUCACAAACUUUGAGCGUUUAUACUUUAUAUUUAUGCAAACAUAAAUGCAAGCUGUAAGGUUACACUCAUGAUCAAACACCAACCCGACUGAGAGGCCUGCGUUAGCAUAGAUAGCAUGCUACCACCAUGUAUGAAAGCCUAUGACUGAAAACAAAUAUCCCUUCAAGUAGAAAGACUAUCAAGCCAUAUCUUAAAUGAAACAGAGAUCAUUUCCUUACAUAUAUUUUAGUCAUUGUUAAAUAUGUAAAACGGUGCAUUGUUUGUUACCUGUCCUCCACCUCCACGUUUGAAUUUCAAAACCUGGGACUGCCAAGCAGAAGAGAAGUGUGCCAUUGGCUUAAAAGGGGGCGUGCAAAGUGGAAGGCACCAUGUAUGGAUGAUGUGGAGGGGUGUUGGAACAGUUGACUUCUGAGUUUUUGAGCCAACUUGGAAAUCCGGACACCUGAGUACAGAUUUUAUAUCUUUAUAAAGAGCUUUCAAAUAGAGAUAACAAGAUCUAAUUGCUGUUGUCGAGACCCACAUCCAUGUAUUUAUUCAUUUUAGAGGUCUGAAGUUUUCAUUGAUAGUGUAGGACUUACUGUUAAGCCAAAUAACAAGGGCAAAUUCAACAAAGAGUGGUCAAAUAGGAUCCAGACAUUCUUCAUCAGCUGCAUACCAGAGCAAGGACCCUCAUAUAGAGAUGCAACACUGCUCUAAUCCUAAUCCUCUUCAUUAUAGUGGUAUGAUAAUGAGUCCAUAUUUAUCAAAGUAGGAUUAAUUUGAGAUGGGCAUUAAUAUGUAGGAUUUAGCUCUAUAAGUUAAACCCUGUUAUCCCAACGUAUCCGUCUGCAGCCACAUAGACAUUGUUAAAGAGCUGAUUUUGUGGUGCUGUUGAACAGUUACACGGGUCUCUCUGAACUUUGCAUUGCUGGAUUGGACUUUAGGGAUCAUAGGCACCUAAACUAGGAUCGCAUCUGCUCUGCAACUUCUCUUCUUCUCGCAGUUUGUUUUAACUGCCUAAUGAUCCGUAAACAGGGGCUGACAAGGGUAGACAAUCUGCAGUGACCUGAACAGUCUUCAUUGGGUAAAAUGUGCCACAAAUGCCCUAAUUAUGCACAAGUCCAAUAACAACUUUGACUAAACUGUACAGCAAAGUGUCAGGAAAUCUGCACUUACCACGAAUGGGAUCCAAAUGCAUUAAGGAUUUAAAGUAAAAGUUGACUGUGAAAUACAAAUGCUGCAAAUCUGGAUUUUAUGGCAGAAAAACUCAAGGGUUAUAGGGAAAUGUAGAUAGACCUGUUCUUUUUUCCAGCAGCCUCUUGUCAGUCCUGUCUACAGAAGGGGGCAGAGUACUUCCCUGAACAGGAGCAGGUGCAUAGGUGAAAAGCUGAGGCCAUACUGGGUUCAGAGCUGGUCCCAGGUUGAGGAUGGUUUGAGGACACUCUGUGCAGGGUUUGAACAUAUAAUUCUGACCCUCGCUAAAUCACAGAACGACUAAAAUGAUGACAGAGAGAUCAGUGAGCCUCAGAGUCAGAAAAGCUGAAGGAUGAAAUGAACCCUGGAUACUGCCUUAAGAGGCCUGGUAGAGGGGCUCAGAGAGCAGCUCCAAAAGCUUGGGCCAACCAGUCAGUGCAGAGGGGUCACAAGUGACACCUAGGCUACAGAGAGAGUGAAACAAAACCUGCAGGCUGUCCACAAAAACCCUGAGAUAAUCCAAGAACACAAGAUAGACCUGGAAGAACUCAAGGUAGUCCAGGAAGAACCUGAAAACCAGAGGAGAAGAUAUCUGUGUGGGGGAUGAUCAAAAGCAUUUGGGUUUUUUUCCAGAGAGGACCGAGACAGCAAAUACUCCCAAACCACCCCUUACACUUUUUAGCCAUUUUCUUGGUGAUAUGGCAAAACCCCUGAAACAGAAUCAAGGGUUAGCUGCUAAAUGCUAACUUGGCUUCCAGGUAAUUAGUUUAACAUUAUGUGUAUCGUAAAGCGAGAGAUUCAGAGCUUUGUUCAUGAAACAGCUUCCUGAUGAAGCUGAAAAAAAGACACUUAAGCAGGUGUUGAAUGUGAACAAUGAGCUUAAAUUUUCAGUCUUCGUAGAGCUGGGAUUAUAAGUGAUAAUUAUCUGUGGGUUGUCGCUAUAAGACAGCACUUUCACAUGAGUAUGUGAUCCUAUUGAUGUAUUGUUGCUAUUUAAAGAUGUGAUGUGUGAAGAUGUGGAGUAUAAUCUCCCACUAUCAUUUUCUCAUCCUGAUUCUCAACAUAAUUAUAACUCAUUUAGAUUACUGCUGACAUUUAAAAUGCCCACUCAUAUAUUAUCCUAAUAGGGUCAUUGUCUCGUUAGCAUUUCAUUUCUUUGUUUAAUCUCCACAUGACAACCUUCCUUAAGCCUGAAAUAACACAGUCCUUGAAUCACAAACCUGAGGUCCCUGUGGUCAACACAGAUAUCAUGUGACUUCCCUCGCCUUUACCCAGUGAUUCACUGCUAUAUGCUGAUUUAAUUCAUGACUCUAAUGUUGACUUUUCCUCUUAUUAAAAGGUUAUCACAGCUGAGAAUCAGGUCCUUAUCUUUUAAUAAUCAAACUCAACUGUCAGGCUUCACCUUAGUCUGUCAUUAUGAAACGGGGAGCUGAGUUAAUGAUGAAAAGUUCCCAUAGGUGAUUGAUUAACCCUCAAAUUGAGUUAAAAAUCUCCUCAGAAAAAACAAGCCUUCAUGUUUUUUUUUUUCUGAUUUAAAGCUUUAUAUAUUAAUGAGCAUGCCAGGCCAGUAGGUGGCGAUAAUCACUCUGACACAUCAGGCAUAACAGGAACAAAUCAGCAUCCUCUUAAAGAGGGAGGAGAUUGUAAACUUUUUUUCUUUUUUUUUUUUUAACUUGUACAAAGUAAGAAAUUUACAGAGCCCCUCUAGUGACAUUGGAGAAAAAAAAUAAUGCUUGGCCACCUGAUAGUAUCUCUAGCUAGUGGUCUGUGCUAUUAUGAAGUGAAAAAGCCAUCAUUUGUGUUUGGACAACAUUUCGUCUCAGAGUUAGUGAUCCCGAAAG
rnacentral:lncRNA from 1 species